rnacentral:rRNA from 1 species
AUUGAACGCUGGCGGCAUGCUUUACACAUGCAAGUCGAACGGCAGCGCGGGCUUCGGCCUGGCGGCGAGUGGCGAACGGGUGAGUAAUGCAUCGGAACGUGCCCAGUAGUGUGGGAUAGCCCGGCGAAAGCCGGAUUAAUACCGCAUACGACCUGAGGGUGAACGCGGGGGACCGAAAGGCCUCGCGCUAUUGGAGCGGCCGAUGUCGGCUUAGCUAGUUGGUGGGGUAAAGGCUUACCCAGGCGACGAGCCGUAGCUGGUCUGAGAGGACGACCAGCCACACUGGGACUGAGACACGGCCCAGACUCCUACGGGAGGCAGCAGUGGGGAAUUUUGGACAAUGGGGGCAACCCUGAUCCAGCCAUGCCGCGUGCGGGAAGAAGGCCUUCGGGUUGUAAACCGCUUUUGUUCGGGAAGAAAUCCUCUGGGCUAAUACCCCGGGGGGAUGACGGUACCGGAAGAAUAAGCACCGGCUAACUACGUG